CCGAGUUUACAACUCCCAAACCCAAUGUGAACGUUACCAAACUGUUGCCUCGGCGGGGUCACGCCCCGGGUGCGUCGCAGCCCCGGAACCAGGCGCCCGCCGGAGGAACCAACCAAACUCUUUCUGUAGUCCCCUCGCGGACGUAUUUCUUUACAGCUCUGAGCAAAAAUUCAAAAUGAAUCAAAACUUUCAACAACGGAUCUCUUGGUUCUGGCAUCGAUGAAGAACGCAGCGAAAUGCGAUAAGUAAUGUGAAUUGCAGAAUUCAGUGAAUCAUCGAAUCUUUGAACGCACAUUGCGCCCGCCAGUAUUCUGGCGGGCAUGCCUGUCCGAGCGUCAUUUCAACCCUCGAACCCCUCCGGGGGAUCGGCGUUGGGGAUCGGGACCCCUCACACGGGUGCCGGCCCCUAAAUACAGUGGCGGUCUCGCCGCAGCCUCUCCUGCGCAGUAGUUUGCACAACUCGCACCGGGAGCGCGGCGCGUCCACGUCCGUAAAACACCCAACUUUCUGAAAUGUUGACCUCGGAUCAGGUAGGAAUACCCGCUGAACUUAAGCAUAUCAAAGGCGGGGAGGAA
rnacentral:rRNA from 1 species